UACGGGGGGGGCGAGCGUUGUUCGGAAUCACUGGGCGUAAAGGGUGCGUAGGCGGCGCGGUAAGUCGGGUGUGAAAUCUCGGAGCUUAACUCCGAAACUGCAUUCGAUACUGCCGUGCUUGAGGACUGGAGAGGAGACUGGAAUUUACGGUGUAGCGGUGAAAUGCGUAGAUAUCGUAAGGAAGACCAGUGGCGAAGGCGGGUCUCUGGACAGUUCCUGACGCUGAGGCACGAAAGCCAGGGGAGCAAACGGG
rnacentral:rRNA from 1 species